rnacentral:rRNA from 1 species
AUGGAAUACAACCCCGAAAUCCUCAGUUGGAACGUGCGCGGCCUAAACAACCCGACCAAGAGAAAGGCGGUGAAGGACUUUGUUGCCACGGUGAAAGUUAACCUAGUGUGCUUUCAGGAGACUAAAUUAGAUGUAAUCGAUCACUUUAUGUUAAUUGGAUGCCUAGGCCGGUCAUUUGACGCCUUCGUGUAUUUGCCGGCGAUGGAAACUCGUGGAGGGAUUCUUCUGGCG